rnacentral:pre_miRNA from 1 species
GGUUGUCGCUGGAGCAGCAAGCGAGAAGGCUAGAGACAGCUGAUUCUCGCUUGCUGCUCCAGUGACAAGC